rnacentral:rRNA from 1 species
CCUACGGGAGGCAGCAGUGAGGAAUAUUGGUCAAUGGGCGCGAGCCUGAACCAGCCAAGUAGCGUGAGGGAAGACGGUCCUAUGGAUUGUAAACCUCUUUAGGCGGGGAGCAAUGCCGGGCAUGCGUGCCCGGAGGGAGAGUACCCGCAGAAUAAGCAUCGGCUAACUCCGUGCCAGCAGCCGCGGUAAUACGGAGGAUGCGAGCGUUAUCCGGAUUUAUUGGGUUUAAAGGGUGCGUAGGCGGAUUUUUAAGUCAGCGGUAAAAUGUCCGGGCUCAACCCGGGCCGGCCGUUGAAACUGGGGAGCUUGAGUGGGCGAGAAGUAUGCGGAAUGCGUGGUGUAGCGGUGAAAUGCAUAGAUAUCACGCAGAACUCCGAUUGCGAAGGCAGCAUACCGGCGCCCGACUGACGCUGAGGCACGAAAGCGUGGGGAUCGAACAGGAUUAGAUACCCGAGUAGUC